rnacentral:rRNA from 1 species
UACAGAGGCCCCGAGCGUUAAUCGGAAUCACUGGGCUUAAAGGGUGCGUAGGCGGGCCAGUAAGCGCUUUGUGAAAUCCCACGGCUCAACCGUGGAACCGCAGGGCGAACUGCUGGUCUUGAGGAAGCUAGAGGCGGGUAGAACGAUAGGUGGAGCGGUGGAAUGCGUAGAGAUCUAUCGGAAUGCCGAAAGUGAAGACAGCCCGCUGGGGCUUUCCUGACGCUAAAGCACGAAAGCGUGGGGAGCAAACAGG